CCUCUCUCUCCUUCUUCCGCCACACGACCCUCUACACAUCACAAAAUCCCCGGACGUCGCCGUACGGUCGUCUUCUUCUUCUUCUAUCCCUUCUCUCUCUCUUACGAGCACUCACGCGGAGAAAACCCUAACCCUAAUUCCUUACAAAUAUCAGCAAGAGAAUCCUACCCGUCCAACGAUGGAAGAUCUCCACAAGAACUUAUCUUCUUCAUCCUCCGCCAUCCGAUUCCUGGGCCUUCUGAAACAGCCGGACUCCGAUCUCACCCCCCUUGAACUAGACGAGAUCGACGUUGUCUGGUCGUCAACGACGACACCGUCCGAACUCUCUGAUUCGCCGACAACCGACAAUUCGACGGAAACGUUCUCUCCCGUCCGAUCGAUGGCCCACAAUUCGGCGUCUAAUAUCCACCGUCCCUUCCGUCCUGAUAAGUUCGGUCUCUCCGCCGUUCUUUCCGACGACCCCGCCCCUCUCCUGCAGCGGAAACCCUCCUUAAACCCUUCCCUCUCCGCCGCCACUGCUGCUCGUACAAUCCCGCCUGUCCCGGUCCCACGGUCCGAUGAGUCCUCCGGGCCGGGUUCUGGAAAGUUCCACCAGUCGGCACCUGUCGACGUGCCCAUCUGGCCCAAGGGGAAUUCGGCGUCGGCAAAUUUGAGCCUUUUUGAUGAGGACGAUGAGGAAAUUGAUGAUGAGAUGCUUCCACCGCACGAGAUCGUAGCGAGAUCGCAUCUGACUACAUUCUCUGUCUUUGAGGGAUUGGGGCGAACUCUCAAAGGGAGGGAUCUCCGUCGGGUUAGGAACGCCAUCUGGCAGAAGACAGGGAAUCAAAUCCAAACUAAGCUAUGGAAACUCAACAGAAUGCUGGGCCACAUAUAGGAAAAGGUUGGAAGAACACCUCCACCAUGAAAUGCAUGGAGCAAAUCGAUUUUCCAAGGCAUGAAAAGAUGGAGAUAUCUGAUUUAGCAUAAGACAGCCAAGACUGUGUGGAUGUUGUACCUGAUAACAGCUCAAGGAUAUCAGCUUAUUUAACAUGGAAGGUGCGAUGAGCUGUUGCAAAAAAUGUAAUGCAUGGAUGAAUGAGCCCAGUUUUGGAAAUCAAGAAAAAAACAGUUUCUUCAAUUUCACUUUUUCCUACCUGCAAUCCUAACACAUAAACGGCCAAUGCAGUUCUUUCUUAGUCGUCUAAUAGAGUUUCCUUAGUAAUGA